GUCUACGGCCAUGCCACCCUGAACAUGCCUGAUCUCAUCUGAUCUCAGAUAAGUUGAGUCGGGCCUGGUUAGUACUUGGAUGGAAGACGACCUAGGAAUACCAGGUGUUGUAGAUG
rnacentral:rRNA from 1 species